AUGGAGGCGACGGCCAUCAGUAUCGGCAAGUCCGUGUUGAGCGGGGCACUCAACUAUGUCCAGUCGGCUGUGGCCGAGGAGGUGGCUCUGCAGCUUGGUGUCCAGCGUGACCACUCCUUCAUUUCAGACGAGCUCGACAUGAUGCGAGGUUUCCUGAUGGCUGCAAAUGACGAGCGGGAUGACAACCUGGUUGUGAAGAUAUGGGUGAAGCAAGUCCGCGAUGUGUCCUAUGCUGUCGAGGACUGCCUCCUGGAUUUUGCUGUCCGUCUUGACAAGCAAUCUUGGUGGUGUCUCUCCCGCAAGGUGCUAGCCCGACGUUAUGUAGCGGAGCAGAUGAAGGAGCUCAGGGCCAAGGUGGAGGAGGUCAGCCAGAGGAACCAACGGUACCACCUCAUCAAGGGCUCUAGCUCCAAGCCUACCUCAGCUGUUGGGCAGCCUACCAUCUCCAGUGCGACGAUGUCCGCCGCUGAGGAUGCCAGGCUGCGACGGCAGAAAGCAAAGAUGGAUCUCAUUGAGUUGACCAAUUGCAAGGAUGAGGCACUUCGAGUUAUAGCGUUGUGGGUCACAAGUAGUAGUGAUCUGCAGGAGAUGUCCAUCAUCAAAAGUGCCUACGAAGAUCCCAUGAUACACAAGAAUUUCGAUUGCUGUGCUUGGAUCACACUGGUGUGUCCUUUCAGUCAAGCAGACUUCAUUCGAAGCAUUGUUAGGCAAAUCUGUGUUAAUUCUCUUCAAGAGACAGGAGAAGAAGGAAAAACAACUAUUGGUGCCCAAGUUUUGAAGAUGAUGUCGAUGACGAAAGAAGAUGGUUUGGCUUGUGAGUUCAAGAGAUAUUUGAAUGACAAGAGUUACCUAAUUGUACUCAAUGGCAUACACACCACUGAAGAGUGGGAUUGCAUUAAAACAUGUUUCCCAACCAACAAGAAAGGAAGCCGAAUCAUAGUAUGCACUAAGCAAGUUGAAGUUGCAUGCUUAUGCAUAGAAGCAGAGGAUGAAGCUCUAGUGCAUAAGAUGUUAUUUGCUGAUCAGUCCCUUUAUGCUUUCUACAGUAAGGAGAGAAGGAAUUCGAAGGAAAAAGGGUCAAUCCCAUUUGUAGUAUCUACUGGUGUUAACAGCUCGACACACAAGAACAUCCUCACUCAAACGGAGGCAAUGGCUACUCUAGAGGAAUCUCGUCUCAUCGGAAGAGGGAAUGAAAAAGAGGAAAUCAUCAAACUAAUCUCAAAUAAAGAUCUCCGGCAAUUUCAUGUGAUCUCCUUGUGGGGAAUGGGUGGUAUUGGAAAAACAACACUAGUGAAAGAUAUCUAUCAAAGCCAAGAGAAUAGUAGCAUGUUUGAUAAGCGUGCUUGUGUCACAGUCAUGCGUCCUUUCAAUUUAGCAAUGCUCCUUGAGAGCUUAAUUAUGCAAUUCAGAGAUAAUAAUGAGGCAGAUUUAAGGACAUGUUUAGAAGGAAAGAGAUAUUUGCUUGUUGUUGAUGAUCUGUGGUCCAUAGUAGAGUGGGACGCUAUAAAACCAUAUUUGCCAGAAACGGGAGCAAGCUGCAUAAUAGUCACCACAAGGGAAGAGAAUAUUGCUAAGCACUGCUCAAAGGAUGAAACGAAUAUAUACAAGCUCAAACAUCUGGGCCCUGCUGACGCAUGUACCCUCUUCACCAAAAAGGUAUUUAAAGAGACCGUCAAUUUGGACGAGCAAUAUCCAGAGUUGGUUGAAGAUGCAAAACUGAUAUUGAAGAAGUGCAGAGGACUUCCCCUUGCACUAGUCACCAUAGGUGGCUUCUUGGCAAACCAACCAAAAACUGCUUUUGAAUGGAGAAAAUUGAAUGAUCAUAUCAGUUCUGAGUUGGAGAUGAAUCCCAAACUUGGUAUCAUAAAAGCAGUCCUUAUGAAAAGCUAUGAUGGUUUACCCUAUCACCUCAAGGCUUGUUUCUUGUAUCUAGCCAUCUUUCUUGAAGAUCAGCAGAUUGCACGAAGACGCUUAGUGCAUCGGUGGCUUGCAGAGGGUUACUCAAGUGAGGUGCGUGGUAAGUCUGCGGAAGAAAUAUUGGACGGUUACUUCAUGGACCUCAUAAGUAGGAGCAUGAUCCUGCCAUCUCAACGGUCAGUUUAUUGUAGGAAAGAAAUUGACUCUUGCCAUGUCCAUGAUCUCAUUCGUGAAAUUGCCAUCUCAAAGGCUAUGGAGGAAAAUCUUUUUUUCAUGUUGGAGGAAGACUGCAGUUUAAAUAACCAAGGCACAGUGCGUCAUCUUGCUGUAAGCAGCAACUGGAAGGGGGAUCAGUGUGAGUUUGAGAAUAUAGUAGACUUGUCCUGUGUACGAUCUUUGACAGUGUUUGGAAAUUGGAGGCCGUUUUACAUUUCUGAUAAGAUGAGGUUGCUACGAGUGCUGGAUUUGGAGGGCGAGUGGGAUCUAUUUGAUCAUCAUCUUGAGCACAUUGGGAAGCUUGUACAUCUUAGAUAUCUUUCUUUAAGGGGACAUGCUGAUAUAUUUUACCUGCCAAAUUCGUUGGGUAACCUGAGACAACUCCUGACACUAGAUAUUUCGGGUACAGGCAUAAUAAAGCUACCAAGGACUAUCAUCAAGCUUGUGAAGAUGCAACGCAUUCUUGCUAGUGGCAUAGGAGAGACACAUGAGGAUAUAUAUGAAGAUGCAGAUGAGCAGUCGCGAAUGAGUUUGCCUUCGCAUUUAGUUGCCUUUUGUUUGGCAUGUCGUGAUUUUGCAAGUGAAGACGAUGCACAAGCACAACCUAACAGGCGUGAUAUGUGCACUGCGUUCUGCUGCGGCAUAUUACCUUAUUAUGCAGCAGGACGACAUCCAGGUGGUGUUGAAGUGCCAAGAGGAAUUUGGAAACUGAAGGCCCUGCGCACACUGCGUAUGGUGGACGUCUCAGUGGGGAAGGCUGUUGUUGAAGAUAUAAAAAAGCUCACCCGGCUGCGCAAGUUAGGAGUGACAGGCAUCAACAAGACAAAUGGUCAGGAGUUGUGUGCAGCAAUUGCUGGUCUCAGCAGCCUGGAGUCAUUGUCACUGCGAUCAUAUGGAAAGGCAGGUUUAUCAGGUUGCUUGGAUGGCUUGUCCUCACCUCCAGAAAACCUGCAGAGCCUCAAGUUGUUUGGCAACCUGGUUAAACUGCCGGAGUGGAUCCGGGGGCUUAAAAAUCUCGUGAAGCUGAAGCUAGAGAGGUCGAGGAUAUUGGAUUACGGUGCAGCCGUAAAAGUCCUUGGGAAACUAUCAAACCUGGCCUCCCUACGUCUAUUGAAGCACUCGUUCGUUGGUCAAGAGGUCCGUUUAAGAUUUCAUCGGGAGGCAUUCCCGAGCCUGAAGGUGCUGCAGCUGCAUUGGAUAAACAAUCUCAAGUCGGUGAAAUUUGAAGAAGGGGCAACACCUAAGCUUGAGUUGCUGCAGUAUUUUGAUUGGAGCCGUCCCAGUUAUGGGCUCUUUUCUGGGUUACCGCAUCUCCCAAGCCUCAAGGAAGUUAUGCUGCAUAGGUCAGUCUGGCGUGAGACCGAGUUCAGGGAAGACCUGGGAUGCCAGCUCGCAGAGAAUCAAAACAGGCCCGUUUUGAAGAGGUGGAAUGAGAAGUAG
rnacentral:rRNA from 1 species